ACCCAUUCCUUUGGGGAGUAGCCUCUCGCAGCUUGCGAGAUAAUUAUCAACAUAAUCGAAGCAAAAUCUUCGUGGUAAUUAUGAUUUAUCCAACGCGAUAAAUUUGGCAAGACCAACGGCAAACAG
rnacentral:misc_RNA from 1 species